rnacentral:rRNA from 1 species
AUUGAACGCUGGCGGCAUGCCUUACACAUGCAAGUCGAACGGCAGCGCGGGGGCAACCCUGGCGGCGAGUGGCGAACGGGUGAGUAAUACUUCGGAACGUGCCCAGUAGCGGGGGAUAACGCAGCGAAAGUUGUGCUAAUACCGCAUAUUCUCUACGGAGGAAAGAGGGGGAUCGCAAGACCUCUCACUAUUGGAGCGGCCGAAGCCUGAUUAGCUAGUUGGUGGGGUAAAAGCUCACCAAGGCGACGAUCAGUAGCUGGUUUGAGAGAACGACCAGCCACACUGGGACUGAGACACGGCCCAGACUCCUACGGGAGGCAGCAGUGGGGAAUUUUGGACAAUGGGGGCAACCCUGAUCCAGCCAUGCCGCGUGCGGGAAGAAGGCC